rnacentral:lncRNA from 9 species
AGAUGGGCGAUGACUUCGUGUGAGAAGAAACUGUCCACGUGUCCAGAGCAGAACAUCAAACAUAACAGAGGAAACUCACAGCCUCGCCUGUCUCUGGAGAUGAAACUACCAUGUGUAUUACCAGCCCACAAAGAAGCCAAAGUGAGGGAACAGAGGACCCGAAUGAAAAGUGAAUCUCACAGCUCCUGGGGUGACUGCCUAGAAAAGCAACUCACUCACCAACCCCUUCAGAUCCAAUGGAUGGACAUGGGUCAGUAGCAGAGUUGUAGCAGGUGGUGUGCGAUUCCUGGAUUGCCUUGAGAGAGCAGUUCUACAAGGAGUGCAGUUGCUUCACUUUUCAAUCACAGCCUCCUGCCUCUCAAUCCACAGGAAGCGUGGAAAGAAGAACAGAUUAUUCUCCAUUCCCUUUCUCUGCUCCUAUCUGUAUUUUUCACAGGCAAAUUGGAAUAAAGAUAUCUGGGAGCAGUAAGAGGCUGCACAGAUUACUGAGGGUGUGUGUGUGUGUGUGUGUGUGUGUGUGUGUGUGUGUGUGUGUGAACUGCAUGGUAUCUGGGAGGGAAGAAAAAUAGGGCAGGGAAAUAGCAAUGGGUAUAUGAAUAGCCAUCCAAUCUCUGGCCUUUUGCAAACAAAUGACAGUAAAGCCCUGUACAACCGUAUCACAGAUAUGAAUUAGGAGUCAUAUUACUUGAUAAACUUUUAUUAUAAACAAGAACGUUUAGAUUUUUUCACUAUUAAUAAACAAUAACAUUUGUUGAGAACUUGAUGGUCCACAAAGCACUUUGCAUAAACAUUACCUCCAAGCACUUUUUGUGAUCCACAUGCCAUCCGCUUGGUCCAUUUCUGAUUUCAGAGCAGUUGCCAUAGAUACUCCCAUGCACUUAUUCCACCACCAUCUUUUUUCAAGUCCAAGCAGUAACUUCUCUUGCCUUUUCUACCUGGGAACUUUCUCUAAAUCUACACAAUAUAUAUCACAGCCAGGAAGUGUGGGUGUGGGUUGCAUGAACAACAUCCCUGAGGCAGGAUAGAGCCUUUAAUGAGUCAGCACAGGCAUCAGUGGAUACACGCCCCAGCAUCCCUUGUUUUAGAGAGAGAAUUCUGAGGCGCAUCUUGUCUUCAUUUUUUUCAGAGGGUUCCUAGUGGGAUUAAGACCAAAUUGCCCACAGCAAGAAUCGAUCAAUGGUUCAUGCGUAUUAUUUUUCCUGCUUCCCUGUCUCCUUCCUGCUCUCUCAAGACUGCUUCCAGGGAUCAGCUCCCCAUAAAUUAGCUGCAUCCAAAUCUUUGGCUCAGGGAAUCUGCUUCAGGGAACCUCACUAAGUUACUUCACUUAGUCUUCACUCCUAGAAUAGAAGCCCCAGUUGUCAUGACAUGUACCAGUUAUAUUUAUAGUUAAAAACAGAGGGGUGGACCAUGCUCUGCCUGCUGAAUGGUUAAAAGUUGCCAAUUACAGGACCAGCAGAGGUGUACUUCCUGUCCAAGACAGAAGGGCAUGAAGCCCAGUAGAAGUAGUGGUGCCCCCAAGAGUGCAGCUCAGUUUUGCCACUUUCUAUCAGCCAAAGGAAGUCACAUGGCCAAGACCACAUCAUGGGGGUGGGACAGAUUAUAAGGGUAUGUGGCAGAGUGUAUGGAUAGAGGAAGAGGAGAAGUGUUGAGAACAGUAAGAUAAUCUACCAUAAUUGGUAAUUACCAUGCAUUUAAGGACGUAUUUACAGAGCAUAUGACAUGCCAGACAUGCGGGAUUCAGCUAUGAACAAGUCCUUCAUGGAUAUUACAGGUGUUUGUGUGUGUGUCCAAAAGUUUUAUUAUUCAUAAUUCAGCUUUUGUUGAUUUUGAAAUACACUUGAUGUGUCUUACUGAUCUCCAUUCUAGACAUGUUUUUACUGUGCAGUAUUUAGAUAAUGAAGAGAUAAGAAAUGCAUUGAGUGCGCAGUAAUUCUAGGAUGUCUUGUUUCAAUUUUGAUUAAAUCCCCAUUUCCUUACCAUUUCCCCCCAUAUAACAAAGCAUCUCAUUUUAAUAAUCCAGUUAUUUUGUCCAUAUAUGUAUUUAAAUUCUAAAUAAAUGGGAGUUCAAUGUAAAAAAAAUAUUCUCUUAAAUGAGGUGAAUAGAAGGUGAACUUAGAGAACCUAUAAAAUCAGGCAAGUGGCAUGUUUCUAUUGAUGAAAUAAGUGAGGGUGAUCCAAUCAUCCUCAUCUUUUGAGAAAGCUCCUGAUGCUUUUUUCCCAUCAUCUCUUAUUCUCAGAAAAGAGCACCCCUGUCAUUUCCUCAGUGACUAGCACAAAUAUUGAAAUAUUGAGGGGGCUAAGUAGACAUUUGUCAAAUCAAUGCAAGAAUGACUACAUGACUCAAUCAAUAAAUCAGCCAAUGAGAAGAGAGGUAAACCUAAUGAUUCCCUGCUAAUGUCCAUGGGUGGCGAUAGACUUCUGGAGUGGAAGCUGGUUAGAUGUUGGGGACAUAUAUCUCCAUGAAGAUGGGUUGAGUGAUCACCAACAAAACUUCCCCAAGGGUCAAAUGGUAGCUCUCUUCUUGGUAUAUUGUAGCUGACAUAUCCUCUUACUAUUAGGAGACAUGCCAUCAUCUGCAGGAUUUCCAACAAUAGCCCCAAGGUUGCAUUCCCUAUGUUCCCACCAAUGGUACUCCCCACCCCAGCCAGAACUUGCCAUGCUCUCUUCCACUUGAUAGGUGACCAUUACUAUCUUUUUCCAUUUCCUGUCUAUCUUUCCCCUCCUUUCCCUCCUGGUAAAUUGUCCACUUCUCCAAUGCACACAUAUUUAUGACAUCUCCCCUGAACUCUCAAUGUAUACAACCACACCCCCCACCACAUUCCCACACGUAAAAGUCUAGCAAUUCAGACAUUAUACUGCAGUUAUCAGCUCUUACCAUUGUUCCUACAUAGGUGCUCAAACACCUGCUAAAAAACAAGUAAAACCAAAUUUGCUCAAUUGGCUAAAGGAUCAACAACCAACAAGUUAAUAUUAGUUUAUUAAGUCACAGAUAAAAAUGCUAUGAUAGACCAAAUACAUAGCUUUUUAUAGCCUUCUCAAGCCUUUCCCUCAAUUCCGCUAUAAACACUCACCUGAUCUCAUAUUCUGACUUCAUUUUAUCAACAAGUAUAUUUUGAAAAUCUGGGAAACAACAGCAAAACAAACAGAUGAGCAUAUUAGCAUGAAAUUUGCAAAAUUCUGUGUUCUUGUUUGAAGGGUUGUAUUUAUUGCCGUUAAUCCAGUUUACACAUUGCAGGAGUUUAGGAUGUUCACUAGCGUUUGUGUUUGAUAAAGACACAACUAUAUAUAUGAGAGCUGGCAAGACUGUUGAGCCCAGCUGGGAUUGUAGCAGCAAUUAGACAUUUUAACACAUUUUAGUGUAAACAGCUGUAUAAAAUCCAGAUGAAUGUUAGAAACACAAGUGAAAUGAUUCAAUUAAAAUAUUACAAGGUUGGAGUUCCUAUUGGCUCAGCAGGUUGAGAGCCUGACAUGGUAUCUG